rnacentral:tRNA from 1 species
AGGAUAUUAGUUUAAACUAAAACAAUUAAAUUGCAUUUAAUAAAUAUUCAUCUAUUAAAAAGAAAUAUAUCUUA